rnacentral:rRNA from 1 species
CCUACGGGUGGCAGCAGUGAGGAAUAUUGGUCAAUGGCCGGAAGGCUGAACCAGCCAUGCCGCGUGAAGGUCAGUGCCCUAUGGGCGUUACACUUCUUUUGUGCGGGAGCAAUAAUGGUCACGUGUGGCCAGACGAGAGUACUGAACGAAUAAGCAUCGGCUGACUCAUUGCCAGCAGCCGCGGUAAUACGGGGGAUGCAAGCGUUAUCCGGAUCUAUUGGGGUUAAAGGGUGCGUAGGCUGGGAGGUAAGUCAGCGGGGAAAUGCCUCCGCUCAACGGGGUGAAGUGCCAUUGAUACUGGCUUGCUGGAAUGCGGAUGCCGUUGGAGGAAUGUGUGGUGUAGCGGUGAAAUGCAUAGAGAUCACACAGAACACCGAUUGCGAAGGCAUCUCACGAAUCCGCGAUUGACGCUGAUGCACGAAAGCGUGGGUAUCAAACAGGAUUAGAUACCCUGGUAGUC